UCCAGGUGUGUGUUGUGUUGACAAGAUGGUAAUGAUCACAUGACCUGUGUGAGUGUGUUUCCAGGUGUGUGUGUUGUGUUGACAAGAUGGUAAUGAUCACAUGACCUGUGUGAGUGUGUUUCCAGGUGUGUGUGUGUUGUGUUGACAAGAUGGUAAUGAUCACAUGACCUGUGUGAGUGUGUUUCCAGGUGUGUGUGUUGUGUUGACAAGAUGGUAAUGAUCACAUGACCUGUGUGAGUGUGUUUCCAGGUGUGUGUGUGUUGUGUUGACAAGAUGGUAAUGAUCACAUGACCUGUGUGAGUGUGUUUCCAGGUGUGUGUGUGUUGUGUUGACAAGAUGGUAAUGAUCACAUGACCUGUGUGAGUGUGUUUCCAGGUGUGUGUGUUGUGUUGACAAGAUGGUAAUGAUCACAUGACCUGUGUGAGUGUGUUUCCAGGUGUGUGUGUGUUGUGUUGACAAGAUGGUAAUGAUCACAUGACCUGUGUGAGUGUGUUUCCAGGUGUGUGUGUUGUGUUGACAAGAUGGUAAUGAUCACAUGACCUGUGUGAGUGUGUUUCCAGGUGUGUGUGUUGUGUUGACAAGAUGGUAAUGAUCACAUGACCUGUGUGUGUGUGUUUCCAGGUGUGUGUUGUGUUGACAAGAUGGUAAUGAUCACAUGACCUGUGUGAGUGUGUUUCCAGGUGUGUGUGUUGUGUUGACAAGAUGGUAAUGAUCACAUGACCUGUGUGAGUGUGUUUCCAGGUGUGUGUGUGUUGUGUUGACAAGAUGGUAAUGAUCACAUGACCUGUGUGAGUGUGUUUCCAAGUGUGUGUGUUGUGUUGACAAGAUGGUAAUGACCACAUGACCUGUGUGAGUGUGUUUCCAAGUGUGUGUGUUGUGUUGACAAGAUGGUAAUGAUCACAUGACCUGUGUGAGUGUGUUUCCAGGUGUGUGUGUGUUGUGUUGACAAGAUGGUAAUGAUCACAUGACCUGUGUGAGUGUGUUUCCAAGUGUGUGUGUUGUGUUGACAAGAUGGUAAUGACCACAUGACCUGUGUGAGUGUGUUUCCAGGUGUGUGUGUGUUGUGUUGACAAGAUGGUAAUGACCACAUGACCUGUGUGAGUGUGUUUCCAGGUGUGUGUGUGUUGUGUUGACAAGAUGGUAAUGAUCACAUGACCUGUGUGAGUGUGUUUCCAGGUGUGCAUGUUGUGUUGACAAGACGGUAAUGAUCACAUGACCUGUGUGAGUGUGUUUCCAGGUGUGUGUGUUGUGUUGACAAGAUGGUAAUGAUCACAUGACCUGUGUGAGUGUGUUUCCAGGUGUGCGUGUUGUGUUGACAAGAUGGUAAUGAUCACAUGACCUGUGUGAGUGUGUUUCCAGGUGUGCGUGUUGUGUUGACAAGAUGGUAAUGAUCACAUGACCUGUGUGAGUGUGUUUCCAGGUGUGCGUGUUGUGUUGACAAGAUGGUAAUGAUCACAUGACCUGUGUGAGUGUGUUUCCAGGUGUGCGUGUUGUGUUGACAAGAUGGUAAUGAUCACAUGACCUGUGUGAGUGUGUUUCCAGGUGUGCGUGUUGUGUUGACAAGAUGGUAAUGAUCACAUGACCUGUGUGAGUGUGUUUCCAGGUGUGUGUGUUGUGUUGACAAGAUGGUAAUGAUCACAUGACCUGUGUGUGUGUUUUGUUGACAAGACGGUAAUGAUCACAUGACCUGUGUGUGUUUGUUGCCAGGUGUGUGUGUUGUGUUGACAAGAUGGUAAUGAUCACAUGACCUGUGUGAGUGUGUUUCCAGGUGUGUGUGUGUUGUGUUGACAAGAUGGUAAUGAUCACAUGACCUGUGUGAGUGUGUUUCCAGGUGUGCGUGUUGUGUUGACAAGAUGGUAAUGAUCACAUGACCUGUGUGAGUGUGUUUCCAGGUGUGUGUGUGUUGUGUUGACAAGAUGGUAAUGAUCACAUGACCUGUGUGAGUGUGUUUCCAGGUGUGUGUGUUGUGUUGACAAGAUGGUAAUGAUCACAUGACCUGUGUGAGUGUGUUUCCAAGUGUGUGUUGUGUUGACAAGAUGGUAAUGAUCACAUGACCUGUGUGAGUGUGUUUCCAGGUGUGUGUGUGUUGUGUUGACAAGAUGGUAAUGAUCACAUGACCUGUGUGAGUGUGUUUCCAGGUGUGUGUGUUGUGUUGACAAGAUGGUAAUGAUCACAUGACCUGUGUGAGUGUGUUUCCAGGUGUGCGUGUGUUGUGUUGACAAGAUGGUAAUGAUCACAUGACCUGUGUGAGUGUGUUUCCAGGUGUGUGUUGUGUUGACAAGAUGGUAAUGAUCACAUGACCUGUGUGAGUGUGUUUCCAAGUGUGUGUUGUGUUGACAAGAUGGUAAUGAUCACAUGACCUGUGUGAGUGUGUUUCCAGGUGUGUGUGUGUUGUGUUGACAAGAUGGUAAUGAUCACAUGACCUGUGUGAGUGUGUUUCCAGGUGUGUGUGUUGUGUUGACAAGAUGGUAAUGAUCACAUGACCUGUGUGAGUGUGUUUCCAAGUGUGUGUUGUGUUGACAAGAUGGUAAUGAUCACAUGACCUGUGUGAGUGUGUUUCCAAGUGUGUGUUGUGUUGACAAGAUGGUAAUGAUCACAUGACCUGUGUGAGUGUGUUUCCAGGUGUGUGUGUGUUGUGUUGACAAGAUGGUAAUGAUCACAUGAUCUGUGUGAGUGUGUUUCCAGGUGUGCGUGUUGUGUUGACAAGAUGGUAAUGAUCACAUGACCUGUGUGAGUGUGUUUCCAGGUGUGUGUGUGUUGUGUUGACAAGAUGGUAAUGAUCACAUGACCUGUGUGAGUGUGUUUCCAGGUGUGUGUGUUGUGUUGACAAGAUGGUAAUGAUCACAUGACCUGUGUGAGUGUGUUUCCAAGUGUGUUGUGUUGACAAGAUGGUAAUGACCACAUGACCUGUGUGAGUGUGUUUCCAGGUGUGUGUGUGUUGUGUUGACAAGAUGGUAAUGAUCACAUGACCUGUGUGAGUGUGUUUCCAGGUGUGUGUUGUGUUGACAAGAUGGUAAUGAUCACAUGACCUGUGUGAGUGUGUUUCCAAGUGUGUGUUGUGUUGACAAGAUGGUAAUGAUCACAUGACCUGUGUGAGUGUGUUUCCAGGUGUGUGUGUGUUGUGUUGACAAGAUGGUAAUGAUCACAUGACCUGUGUGAGUGUGUUUCCAGGUGUGUGUGUUGUGUUGACAAGAUGGUAAUGAUCACAUGACCUGUGUGAGUGUGUUUCCAAGUGUGUGUUGUGUUGACAAGAUGGUAAUGAUCACAUGACCUGUGUGAGUGUGUUUCCAAGUGUGUGUUGUGUUGACAAGAUGGUAAUGAUCACAUGACCUGUGUGAGUGUGUUUCCAGGUGUGUGUGUGUUGUGUUGACAAGAUGGUAAUGAUCACAUGACCUGUGUGAGUGUGUUUCCAGGUGUGUGUUGUGUUGACAAGAUGGUAAUGAUCACAUGACCUGUGUGAGUGUGUUUCCAAGUGUGUGUUGUGUUGACAAGAUGGUAAUGAUCACAUGACCUGUGUGAGUGUGUUUCCAGGUGUGUGUGUGUUGUGUUGACAAGAUGGUAAUGAUCACAUGACCUGUGUGAGUGUGUUUCCAGGUGUGUGUGUUGUGUUGACAAGAUGGUAAUGAUCACAUGACCUGUGUGAGUGUGUUUCCAAGUGUGUGUUGUGUUGACAAGAUGGUAAUGAUCACAUGACCUGUGUGAGUGUGUUUCCAAGUGUGUGUUGUGUUGACAAGAUGGUAAUGAUCACAUGACCUGUGUGAGUGUGUUUCCAGGUGUGUGUGUGUUGUGUUGACAAGAUGGUAAUGAUCACAUGACCUGUGUGAGUGUGUUUCCAGGUGUGUGUGUUGUGUUGACAAGAUGGUAAUGAUCACAUGACCUGUGUGAGUGUGUUUCCAGGUGUGUGUGUUGUGUUGACAAGAUGGUAAUGAUCACAUGACCUGUGUGAGUGUGUUUCCAGGUGUGUGUGUGUUGUGUUGACAAGAUGGUAAUGAUCACAUGACCUGUGUGAGUGUGUUUCCAAGUGUGUUAUGUUGACAAGAUGGUAAUGACCACAUGACCUGUGUGAGUGUGUUUCCAGGUGUGUGUUGUGUUGACAAGAUGGUAAUGAUCACAUGACCUGUGUGAGUGUGUUUCCAGGUGUGUGUGUUGUGUUGACAAGAUGGUAAUGAUCACAUGAUCUGUGUGAGUGUGUUUCCAGGUGUGCGUGUUGUGUUGACAAGAUGGUAAUGAUCACAUGACCUGUGUGAGUGUGUGUGUGUGUGUGUGUGUGUUUCCAGGUGUGCAUGUUGUGUUGACAAGACGGUAAUGAUCACAUGACCUGUGUGAGUGUGUUUCCAGGUGUGUGUGUUGUGUUGACAAGAUGGUAAUGAUCACAUGACCUGUGUGAGUGUGUUUCCAGGUGUGUGUGUGUUGUGUUGACAAGAUGGUAAUGAUCACAUGACCUGUGUGAGUGUGUUUCCAGGUGUGCGUGUUGUGUUGACAAGAUGGUAAUGAUCACAUGACCUGUGUGAGUGUGUUUCCAGGUGUGUGUGUUGUGUUGACAAGAUGGUAAUGAUCACAUGACCUGUGUGAGUGUGUUUCCAGGUGUGUGUGUUGUGUUGACAAGAUGGUAAUGAUCACAUGACCUGUGUGAGUGUGUUUCCAGGUGUGUGUGUGUUGUGUUGACAAGAUGGUAAUGAUCACAUGACCUGUGUGAGUGUGUUUCCAGGUGUGUGUGUGUUGUGUUGACAAGAUGGCA